UGGGGAAUAUUGGACAAUGGGCGGAAGCCUGAUCCAGCCAUGCCGCGUGUGUGAAGAAGGCCUUUUGGUUGUAAAGCACUUUAAGCGAGGAGGAGGCUACUUGGAUUAAAACUCUAGGAUAGUGGACGUUACUCGCAGAAUAAGCACCGGCUAACUCUGUGCCAGCAGCCGCGGUAAUACAGAGGGUGCGAGCGUUAAUCGGAUUUACUGGGCGUAAAGCGUGCGUAGGCGGCUUCUUAAGUCGGAUGUGAAAUCCCUGAGCUUAACUUAGGAAUUGCAUUCGAUACUGGGAAGCUAGAGUAUGGGAGAGGAUGGUAGAAUUCCAGGUGUAGCGGUGAAAUGCGUAGAGAUCUGGAGGAAUACCGAUGGCGAAGGCAGCCAUCUGGCCUAAUACUGACGCUGAGGUACGAAAGCAUGGGGAGCAAACAGG
rnacentral:rRNA from 1 species